rnacentral:misc_RNA from 1 species
GCCGUAUACGGGGGUGAUGAAUCUUGAGGGGCUGCGCCGCCCGCUGCUGGCCGUGCAGUUCACAAAGCUGAAGGACGGAAUAGCCAUCGGCUGCGCCUUCAACCACGCCAUCCUCGACGGCAACGCCACGUGGCACUUCAUGACCUCCUGGGCGGAGCUCGCGCGCGGCGCCGCCGCCCCUUCCUCCCUCCCCUUCCACUCCCGCACCACCGUCCGCUCCACCCGCACCAAGCUCUCCCUCCCCGCCUCGCCUGAAGCCCACGAGAAAGCCGACCCCAACGGCCCCCCAAAGCCCCUCCGCGCCAAAAUCUUCACCUUCUCCGCCGCCGCCAUCGACUCCCUCAAAGCCUCCGCCAACGCCGACCUCCCCGCCGGCUCCAAGCCCUUCUCCACCUUCCAGUCCCUCUCCGCCCACGUCUGGCGCGCCGUCUGCCGGGCCCGCCGCCUCUCUCCAGAAUCCCCCACCGUCUUCGCCAUCUUCAUGGACUGCCGCAGCCGCCUCGACCCUCCAGCCCCCACCGCCUUCUUCGGCAACGUCAUACAGGCCGUUUUCACCGCCACGGCUUCCGGCAUUCUCCUCUCGAGCCCUCCGCAGCUCGGGGCCGGGCUCCUCCAGGCCGCCAUUGAUGCCCAUGACGCCAAGGCGAUCACCAAGAGGCUCGAGGACUAUGAGGCGGCACCGAAGAUGUUCUACUACACCGAUGCUGGGAUAAACACGGUGGCUGUGGGGAGCUCGCCGAGGUUUAGGGUUUACGACGUCGACUUCGGGUUCGGACCGCCGGAGAGGGUGAGGAGUGGAGGGAACAACAAGUUUGAUGGGAUGUUGUAUUUGUAUCCUGGGAGAGAAGGGGGGAGGAGCAUUGAUGUGGAGCUCACUCUUGAUGGGGAGGCUAUGGAGAACUUGGAGAAGGAUGAGGAGUUUCUCAAGGUUGAGGGUGCUUGAAUUGGGCUAGGGUUAGGGUUUGCAAAUUGUGGUUCUUUUAUAUCGUGUGUGAGUUAUUUUCUCUCAUGUGUAAGCAUUAUUGGAGAUGGG